CUUUUGGUAGCUCAGUUGGUAGAGGAUGAGACCCUUAAUCUCUGGGUCAUCGGUUUGAGCCCCUUGUUAGAGA